rnacentral:rRNA from 1 species
CACGUAGGGCGCAAGCGUUGUCCGGAAUUAUUGGGCGUAAAGAGCUCGUAGGCGGUCUGUUGCGUCCGCUGUGAAAACUCGGGGCUUAACCCCGAGCCUGCAGUGGAUACGGGCAGACUAGAGGUAGGUAGGGGAGAAUGGAAUUCCCGUGUAGCGUGAAAUGCGCAGAUAUCGGGAGGAACACCGGUGCGAAGGCGGUCUCUGGGCCUACCUGACGCUGAGGAGCGAAGCGUGGGGAGCG